rnacentral:rRNA from 1 species
AUUGAACGCUGGCGGCAUGCCUUACACAUGCAAGUCGAACGGCAGCGGGGGAGAAGCUUGCUUUUCCUGCCGGCGAGUGGCGAACGGGUGAGUAAUACAUCGGAACGUGCCCUGUAGUGGGGGAUAACUAGUCGAAAGAUUAGCUAAUACCGCAUACGACCUGAGGGUGAAAGUGGGGGACCGCAAGGCCUCAUGCUAUAGGAGCGGCCGAUGUCUGAUUAGCUAGUUGGUGGGGUAAAGGCCUACCAAGGCGACGAUCAGUAGCUGGUCUGAGAGGACGAGCAGCCACCCUGGGACUGAGACACGGCCCAGACUCCUACGGGAGGCAGCAGUGGGGAAUUUUGGACAAUGGGCGAAAGCCUGAUCCAGCAAUGCCGCGUGUGUGAAGAAGGCCUUCGGGUUGUAAAGCACUUUUGUCCGGAAAGGAAUGGCUCUGGUUAAUACCUGGGGUCGAUGACGGUACCGGAAGAAUAAGGACCGGCUAACUACGUGCCAGCCGCCGCGGUAA